AUUUAAAUAGCUUAAUUUAAUAAGAGUAUAAUAUUGAAGAUAUUAGGGUGAUUUUAUAAUCUUUAAAUA
rnacentral:tRNA from 1 species